AUUGAACGCUGGCGGCAUGCCUUACACAUGCAAGUCGAACGGCAGCGCGGGAGCAAUCCUGGCGGCGAGUGGCGAACGGGUGAGUAAUAUAUCGGAACGUGCCCAGUAGUGGGGGAUAGCCCGGCGAAAGCCGGAUUAAUACCGCAUGAGACCCUGAGGGUGAAAGCGGGGGAUCGGCAAGACCUCGCGCUAUUGGAGCGGCCGAUAUCAGAUUAGCUAGUUGGUGGGGUAAAGGCCUACCAAGGCAACGAUCUGUAGUUGGUCUGAGAGGACGACCAGCCACACUGGGACUGAGACACGGCCCAGACUCCUACGGGAGGCAGCAGUGGGGAAUUUUGGACAAUGGGCGCAAGCCUGAUCCAGCAAUGCCGCGUGCAGGAAGAAGG
rnacentral:rRNA from 1 species